AUUGAACGCUGGCGGCAUGCCUUACACAUGCAAGUCGAACGGUAACAGGUCUUCGGAUGCUGACGAGUGGCGAACGGGUGAGUAAUGCAUCGGAACGUGCCCAGUAGUGGGGGAUAGCCCGGCGAAAGCCGGAUUAAUACCGCAUACGACCUGAGGGUGAAAGGGGGGGAUCGCAAGACCUCUCGCUAUUGGAGCGGCCGAUGUCAGAUUAGCUAGUUGGUGGGGUAAAGGCCUACCAAGGCAACGAUCUGUAGUUGGUCUGAGAGGACGACCAGCCACACGGGGACUGAGACACGGCCCAGACUCCUACGGGAGGCAGCAGUGGGGAAGUUUGGACAAUGGGCGCAAGCCUGAUCCAGCAAUGCCGCGUGCAGGAAGAAGGCCUUCGGGUUGUAAACUGCUUUUGUCAGGGAAGAAAUCUUCUGGGUUAAUACCUCGGGAGGAUGACGGUACCUGAAGAAUAAGCACCGGCUAACUACGUGCCAGCCGCCGCAGUAAAAC
rnacentral:rRNA from 1 species